UUGUCCAGCUCCUCAAAGAUUGUCAAACGGAGCCAUCAUUAUUCUUGCUUUGGGGUUAUUCGGUUUUGUUCUCAUCUUCUUCAGCUUGGUCUGCUGCGUUUUUGUUCAAGGUGUCAGACGAAAUCAAGCAGCGAAACUAAUGCUCGCUGAGGCGCAGUAUGACUAUUCAAUUUGCCGAAACAGAGGUGUCUACGUAAACGAUUCUUUGAAGGGUUCUGGGGACUACGAGUCCAUUCAAGAACGCCGGUAUGCUGUUUGCCAAACAUUGGAUCGACUGCGAGAAACUAAUGCACUGAACAACAGUGUGGAUCAAUUUCUAGUCCAUUAUUGAUCAUCAAGAAAUAACCUACGGAUUAAGAAGGAAUAUGACAACGGAAUUCGGAUGAAAAGAAUAUAGUGAAUUAGUUGAAUACUUAUAAUAGAAAGAUUGGUUCUCUGUUAAAUAGGCUAACGGUUGACUGAUUGAAUUGAUGUAAUCAUGCUAAACUCACAUCAGCAAGUCUCUGUUAGAAACAUAAAACUAAUGAAAUAAAAAUUAAUUUAAAUAUAAAUAUAUAAAAUAAUUGAAUAUAAUUUACUGUAUAU